rnacentral:rRNA from 1 species
UGGGGAAUAUUGCACAAUGGGCGCAAGCCUGAUGCAGCCAUGCCGCGUGUAGGAAGAAGGCCUUCGGGUUGUAAAGUACUUUCAGCGGGGAGGAAGGGAGUAAAGUUAAUACCUUUGCUCAUUGACGUUACCCGCAGAAGAAGCACCGGCUAACUCCGUGCCAGCAGCCGCGGUAAUACGGAGGGUGCAAGCGUUAAUCGGAAUUACUGGGCGUAAAGCGCACGCAGGCGGUUUGUUAAGUCAGAUGUGAAAUCCCCGGGCUCAACCUGGGAACUGCAUCUGAUACUGGCAAGCUUGAGUCUCGUAGAGGGGGGUAGAAUUCCAGGUGUAGCGGUGAAAUGCGUAGAGAUCUGGAGGAAUACCGGUGGCGAAGGCGGCCCCCUGGACGAAGACUGACGCUCAGGUGCGAAAGCGUGGGGAGCAAACA